UGAACGCUGGCGGCGUGCCUAAUACAUGCAAGUCGAGCGAACGGACGAGAAGCUUGCUUUUCUGAUGUUAGCGGCGGACGGGUGAGUAACACGUGGAUAACCUACCUAUAAGACUGGGAUAACUUCGGGAAACCGGAGCUAAUACCGGAUAAUAUUUUGAACCGCAUGGUUCAAAAGUGAAAGACGGUCUUGCUGUCACUUAUAGAUGGAUCCGCGCUGCAUUAGCUAGUUGGUAAGGUAACGGCUUACCAAGGCAACGAUGCAUAGCCGACCUGAGAGGUUGAUCGGCCACACUGGAACUGAGACACGGUCCAGACUCCUACGGGAGGCAGCAGUAGGGAAUCUUCCGCAAUGGGCGAAAGCCUGACGGAGCAACGCCGCGUGAGUGAUGAAGGUCUUCGGAUCGUAAAACUCUGUUAUUAGGGAAGAACAUAUGUGUAAGUAACUGUGCACAUCUUGACGGUACCUAAUCAGAAAGCCACGGCUAACUACGUG
rnacentral:rRNA from 1 species